GACGAACGCUGGCGGCGUGCUUAACACAUGCAAGUCGAACGGAAAGGCUCCAGCUUGCUGGAGUGCUCGAGUGGCGAACGGGUGAGUAACACGUGGGCAAUCUGCCCUGCACUCUGGGAUAAGCCUGGGAAACUGGGUCUAAUACCGGAUAGGACCUUUCUCCUCAUGGGGUUUGGUGGAAAGUUUUUCGGUGCAGGAUGAGCCCGCGGCCUAUCAGCUUGUUGGUGGGGUAAUGGCCUACCAAGGCGACGACGGGUAGCCGGCCUGAGAGGUGAUCGGCCACAUUGGGACUGAGAUACGGCCCAGACUCCUACGGGAGGCAGCAGUGGGGAAUAUUGCACAAUGGGCGAAAGCCUGAUGCAGCGACGCCGCGUGAGGGAUGACGGCCUUCGGGUUGUAAACCUCUUUCAGUAGGGACGAAGCGCAAGUGACGGUACCUGCAGAAGAAGCACCGGCUAACUACGU
rnacentral:rRNA from 1 species